CCGUACACCAAAAUGCACAGGCUGUGAACUCGAAGAGUAGGGCGGGACACGUGGUAUCCUGUCUGAAUAUGGGGGGACCAUCCUCCAAGGCUAAAUACUCCUGACUGACCGAUAGUGAACCAGUACCGUGAGGGAAAGGCGAAAAGAACCCCGGCGAGGGGAGUGAAAAAGAACCUGAAACCGUGUACGUACAAGCAGUGGGAGCACCUUCGGGUGUGACUGCGUACCUUUUGUAUAAUGGGUCAGCGACUUAUAUUCUGUAGCAAGGUUAACCGUAUAGGGGAGCCGCAGGGAAACCGAGUCUUAACUGGGCGUUAAGUUGCAGGGUAUAGACCCGAAACCCGGUGAUCUAGCCAUGGGCAGGUUGAAGGUUGGGUAACACUAACUGGAGGACCGAACCGACUAAUGUUGAAAAAUUAGCGGAUGACUUGUGGCUGGGGGUGAAAGGCCAAUCAAACCGGGAGAUAGCUGGUUCUCCCCGAAAGCUAUUUAGGUAGCGCCUCGUGAAUUCAUCUUCGGGGGUAGAGCACUGUUUCGGCUAGGGGGUCAUCCCGACUUACCAACCCGAUGCAAACUACGAAUACCGAAGAAUGUUAUCACGGGAGACACACGGCGGGUGCUAACGUCCGUCGUGAAGAGGGAAACAACCCAGACCGCCAGCUAAGGUCCCAAAGUCAUGGUUAAGUGGGAAACGAUGUGGGAAGGCACAGACAGCCAGGAUGUUGGCUUAGAAGCAGCCAUCAUUUAAAGAAAGCGUAAUAGCUCACUGGUCGAGUCGGCCUGCGCGGAAGAUGUAACGGGGCUAAACCAUGCACCGAAGCUGCGGCAGCGACACUAUGUGUUGUUGGGUA
rnacentral:rRNA from 1 species